rnacentral:rRNA from 1 species
GACGAACGCUGGCGGCGUGCUUAACACAUGCAAGUCGAACGAUGAAGCUGGAGCUUGCUCCGGUGGAUUAGUUGCGAACGGGUGAGUAACACGGGAGCAAUCUGCCCUUCACUCUGGGAUAACUGCGGGAAACUGUAGCUAAUACCGGAGACGAGACCUUGGGGCAUCCUAGGGUCUGGAAAGGAUUUCGGUGAAGGAUGAGCUCGCGGCCUAUCAGCUAGUUGGUGAGGUAAUGGCUCACCAAGGCGACGACGGGUAGCCGGCCUGAGAGGGUGACCGGCCACACUGGGACUGAGACACGGCCCAGACUCCUACGGGAGGCAGCAGUGGGGAAUAUUGCACAAUGGGCGAAAGCCUGAUGCAGCAACGCCGCGUGAGGGAUGAAGGCCUUCGGGUUGUAAACCUCUUUUAGUAGGGAAGAAGCGCAAGUGACGGUACCUACAGAAAAAGCACCGGCUAACUACGUGCCAGCCGCCGCCGUAA